GUUAGCCGAGUCUCGGCGGAGCCGCCGCCGCCGCGGGCGCAGGAAAGGCCUGGAAAGCUGGCUGGCCUGUGCUGCUGGGAGCGCAGGGCCCCAGCAGCCUGCGUUUCCUCUCGUAACGGGCCUCUCCUGGAGACAGCUGGGCAGCAGCCUUCCGCAGCGCGAGCGAAACGCUCCCCCGGCGACUCGCACCACUUACACAGACCUGCUGCGCUCGCCACAUCCGGCACGCUCACGCACCCUGACGCCAAACACACUCCUACGCUCCUGCGCUUUCACUGCGACUCGGGCUGCCUGCUCUGAAAUGGACAUCACUAGUACAGAAAUACUCAUGCACUUCAGUCACACUCAGAUACCCUGAUUGGACACAACUCAUACAGAAAUGGUCAUUUACUGCAGUCACACUGAAAUACCCUGAUUGGACACAACUCAUACAGAAAUACAUACAGUAUGUACUUCAGUCACCCUGAAAUACCCUGAUUGGACAUCACUCAUACAGAAAUACAUAUGUACUGCAGCCACACUGAAAUACCCUGAUUGGACAUCACUUAUACAGAAAUACAUAUGUACUGCAGUCACACUGAAAUACCUUGAUUGGACAUCACUCAUACAGAAAUACAUAUGUACUGCAGCCACACUGAAAUACCCUGAUUGGACAUCACUCAAACAAUAAUACUCAUGUACUUUAGUCACACUGAAAUACCCUGAUUGGACAUCACUCAAACAAUAAUACUCAUGUACUUUAGUCACACUGAAAUACCCUGAUUGGACAUCACUCAUACAGAAAUACAUAUGUACUGCAGUCACUCUGAAAUACCCUGAUUGGACAUCACUCACACCCUGAUUUUCAUACAGAAAUAUGUUGCAUCGUAUACUUUAAUCACAUCUAUUCUUGCAUUUGUUUUUGCACCAUAAGGAAGUGUGGAUCGGCACAUUCAAACAGACGGACAGGGACUGAUACAAUCAUAUGUAUGAGUGCUCAGUGCACUUUAUACAAAUCCAUGUGACAGCAAUUGCCCUUAUCCUUUUAUGUUAGAUUAUGGCGCUGUUAUUAAUGUGUAAUAAAGCAUUAACAGGUUAAUUUAUUCUUUAUUAUUAACACAGCUGAUUUUCAGCUUAGCCUUAAUAAUAGUAGAUAGGGUUUCCAUAAAUUGAAUAAUAUGUAUUUAUGUUGUCACUGACAGUCAGCAGUAUAUUUAAUGAUUUGAAUGCAAUUUUAAAUACUUUACGGAGUAUUUAUAACUGCACCAUAAUUGGUACCACAUAGUGGUAACACUGUGCAAAUGGUACCAAUUUCUUUUCUUGUGGAGGUUGAGAAAAAUGCAUGUCAGAAUAAAAUGUCAAGUGAAUAAAAAGUAAGUGUAACAUUUUCCUACUGACCCUGUCACUAUGCAGUAAAAAGUGAAACAUUAUUACUGUAAUAGCUGUAUAACAUGACCAAAAUGAGCACUGGUGUUUAUUUUGAGAGAUGUCUAAGGACUCUUCAAUAAAAAGAAUGUUGAACUUGGAUGCAUUUUAGCCGUAUAACAUGAACAAAAUGAACACUAGUUUUCCAGUGUGAAACUGUUACGCCGAAAAUAUUGAGACGAGGGUGAUGGCGUGCAACUGCCCAAACUGUGUGUAUGUUUCUUAUCAUACAUGAAAUGCCCAAACUGUGUGUAUGUCUUUUAUCAGUGUGUAAUUGUCCGAACUGUGCGUACGUUUCUUAUCAGUGUGGAAUUGUCCAAACUGUGUGUAUGUCUUUUAUCAGCGUGUAAAUGCCCAAACUGUGUGGAUGUCUUUUAUCAGUGUGUAAUUGUCCAAACUGUGUGUAUGUUUCUUAUCUAUGUGAUUCAUAAUCUGUCAUAGAACAGUACAGAAGGUUUAAAUCUCAUCUUGUGUGAGUAUUUUUAUCGUGAAGUGUAGAAGUGAUGGAUUAAGCGAACGCCACGGGCUCGGUUGGUGGAGGACGGUGGGGUGCUGCGUUUCCUGAGGCUGGAUUGUUCGCCUCUGAGGCGUCUCCUCCAUCGUGCCGCCGUGUUGGCGCGAGGAGGGAAGGGGGAAGGGGGAAGGGGGGAGAGGCAAAGCCGGAUUCAGACAGGUCCCUCGUUUCGCCGCUAACCACUUCAGACGUAUCGAUCUCUGCCCAAACCUCCGACCCCGACGCAGAGGAGGAAAAUGGGGAAAGGGGGAAUGUUCUU